AACUCAGUUCUAUUUCUUCCUCUCACAGCCGCACAUCAAAUCCUUCUCUAAAUCAUUUCUCUUAGGGCUUGAUAGUCAUGUCUACUAGAAUACCGGAAUUUGAUUUUCUGCGCUACUAGAAAUAGAGGUGAAGGUGUUUAAUCAGGAAGUAUAAGAAGGCAUGGGGUUGAAUAUGAACAAUCUUAGACCGGUGAAUCUCACAGUGUUGUUGACUACAGAUUCACAAUGAAUAUGAUACAUGAUUUGAAAUGGUCUUUGUCGAUUUUCAAAAAUAAAGAUCGCAUAAUAGUUCCUGCUGCAGAUGAUGAGAUUAUGGAGGUCGAUGACUUUGAAUCCCCUGAAUAAAGAUUAAUGCUCUUAUUUCUGAUGUGGAAGAAUUUUUCACGCAGUGCAAUCCUUGUGAGGAUAUUUCUUCUCCUUCUAUCUAUAUCUCUAUUUACACCAUUUUUGUUAGUUUUGGGUUUUUUUUUUCCAUGUUUUUUAGUUUUUUCAGUAUGACUAGUAAAUCAGGGUUGAUUUGAGGGGGUUUUCUGGUUAGGGUUUUUGUUUUCUUGAUUUUUUGAUGUACAAUUUUGACCGACUUAUAGGAUUUGAUUUGAUUUUGAUUAAUAAUUAUUAGUGUUUGAAGAGGAUUUUAGUGUGGGGUUUCAAAAUGAGUGAUUGUAUGUUGUGUUAGCCUGAGAUAAUGGGUUUUGAUACUUAAGAAUGACCCAUGCAUGUGAUUUUUGUAGUUAAACUUUGCAUUGUUGCUCAAAUGGAGUUGUAGUAUGUGAUCAAAUUCUGGGGUUGAUGCUCAAAUUGAUUUUGUAAUUGAUUGUGUUAAGCCUUGGUUUGUAAUUGUUGGAAAUUCAUCAUUGGUGGAACUGCAAAUAUUCGUGUUUGGGAUUUGAUAGCAAAUUCAUGCAGUUGUGAGUUGGUGCCAGAGGUGGAUACGGCCGUACGAUCUGUCACAGUAAUGUGGGAUGAAAGCUUAGUUGUUGCGGCAAACAAUAAUGAAACUUGUUAUGUUUGGCGCUUGCAACGUGGGACUCAGACUAUGACAAAUUUUGAGCCGCUUCAUAAACUACAAGCACAUGAUGGUUACAUCCUGAAGUGUUUGCUUUCACCUGGUCAUAUAGCUCGUGCAUCUAUAAUUUUCAUAGUCGAUGAGGGAUUCGUCUUCAAGGGAAAAUGAGUGGAGUUGAUCAUAGGGCUUCAUUUUUUCAAUUAAAGAAAAUGAUUAGUUUGAGGGUUUAAGGAAAUAUGAAUUGUGGGUUUAUUGAGAAACUCAGAGACAGAAGAGUUAAGUGAAUUUAUUUUAUGAGAGGGAUUUUGUUUUGGGUAAACAGGUGGUGAUAUUUGACAAUAGUAGUGGUUCAGAUUAUGAUUUGAGGUUAGCAAUGAAAGAAGAUGCCGAUGGUAAUGAGAGCGGUACACAAUUUCUUAUAAGAAUAUUACAGUAUUUAGAGACACCUCAGUAUCUGAGACGUGUGCUUUUUCAGAUGCAUACAAGCUUAAGAUUUGUGGUACAUUUUCGUCCUUUAAAAAUGUGCUAUAAUGUAUGUAUUAGACAUGUAUAAAUUUGUGUAGUUGAUUAUGGAUAUGAAUUUACAAAAUCUGCUUGCAUUUUUGCGUAGGGUUUGUUAUUGCUGCAAUAUGUACAUAUACAAUGGAGGUUAUGAAGCCUAAGGUGUUGUAUCUUUAUACAUAUCUAUAAGUAGAGCUUGAUGAUAUUGAUACAUCUUUUUUUUUCUUCUGGGUGACAGGGGGAGAAUUCUGUGAAGGCACAAGUUUUCAUUUAGGUUCAAAGGUCUUGUAGAUGAUGGAAUUAGAUAGGGUAUUCAAUUAGGAUCAUCAUCAUCGGAGUUUACAAUUUUGCUGUUUAAUCAAUAGUUUUUUAGUUCAUCGUUUGUAAUCGAAUCCUAGAACUACAGAUUGCACUGGUUAGAACUACAGAUUUUAAUCACUUGUGUAAUUUGAAACCGCUGAAUCAAUGAAUGUUAAAUUGAAU